UUUAAGUGGGUUUCUAUGUUUAACAUUUGACUGCCCGUUUUAUUUAAAAUCUUUUAAUGAUUAGUAUUUUUAUUAUUAUUAGAUGGUAAAACAUGAAUAGUACUCUAUGCGUAACUUUUUUAUAAAUUUUCGAAAUAAGUUGGACGGUUAAACGUUGUACACGGAAACUAAUAACUGCAUUUAAA
rfam:Oryza glaberrima chromosome 5 Oglab05_0070_3, whole genome shotgun sequence.